UUGGUAGGGUAGCGGCUUACCAAGGCAACGAUCAGUAGCCGGCCUGAGAGGGUGGACGGCCACACUGGGACUGAGAACGGCCCAGACUCCUACGGGAGGCAGCAGUGGGGAAUAUUGUGCAAUGGGGGAAACCCUGACGCAGCGACGCCGCGUGAGCGAAGAAGGCAUUCGGGUUGUAAAGCUCUGUUGUAAGGGACGAAAGAUCAAGGGAAUAACUGCCCUUGAAGUGACGGUACCUUACCAGCAAGCCCAGGCCAACUACGUGCCAGCAGCCGCGGUAAGACGUAGGGGGCGAGCCUUGUCCGGAAUUACUGGGCGUAAAGAGCAGGUAGGCGGAUGUAUAAGUCAGGUGUGAAAGACCGCAGCCUAACUGCGGGGUUGCACUUGAAACUGUAUAUCUUGAGGGCAGGAGAGGUUAGUAGAAUUCAUGGUGUAGCGGUGAAAUGAGUAGAAAUCAGGAGGAAUACCAGUGGCGAAGGAGACUAACUGGACUGACCCUGACGGUGAGGUGGGAAAGCGUGGGUAGCAAACAGGAUUAGAUACCUUGGUAGUCCACGCCGUAAACGAUGGAUACUAGGUGUGGGAGGUAUCGACCCCUUCCGUGCCGCAGCUAACGC
rnacentral:rRNA from 1 species